UACUCGUUCUAUGAGUAGCGGUACAGAAAACACGACUACAAGAGCCGUAGAUGCGGCGUUCGUAGUCGGCGUCAGGAACCUCGGCGGCCUCCCUAGGACGCCCAGGGAAGAUCACUGAGGAACCGAGUGACGUAGGGUUCCACGCCCCUGCAGCUGUAGGGGAUAGGGAAGCCAUAUCCCGGGCCGACGAAGGCAGUUCCGAAGCUAGAGUGGACGUUGGUGAGGUGGAUGUUAGGGUCCGAGAAAAAUCCGUCGUCGUGAUAGGUCCAGUGACUGUAACUGUAUAUGAGGCCGCAUCAUACCUGGGGAUAUUAGAUGUUGGAAUGUUGCUCAGAUCCAUGUUUAUGUAUGCUGUAGUAUACCUUCCGGGGACGAUUUCCAUAAUGAGAGUGAUCUCUAUUAUGAAACAUGCAUCGACCAACACUAAACCUGCAGUGGAACAAGUUCAUACCAUGUUCUUUGUACCAACCAAGAACAUACUGAUCUACGCGGCCGUCCUUCCGUGGCUGACCUCCCGGAACAUUACCUUUCCCGACGACGGAGUAGGCCAAACGUUCACUGGACGGUCCGAAAGUGCGUUUAGAACAGUCGUGAUUAUGAUGACGUUGUGUUAGUCUAACCAAGGUGGGACCGUAGUACCGAAAUCACAGUUUAAUAGGUCUAAUAAUGUAUCUACUACAACCUCGGCUAGAAAAGAGAUCAACCUGUUUACUCUAGGUCCGCCUCGAAUCUCAACGGUAGUACCUGGUUGGUUCGACACAUUCACGUGUUGACUUCUCCCUUUCGAUACGGACAUCGUUGGCAUCGUCAACAGCCUUAAGGAGUAAGCCACCAAUGGUUACACAGACGGGAAGAAUAUUGCCUCUGUUGGGAAUGUACAAUGUACCUACGUACGUUCUAAUAUUGGGGUUCGGGUUUCUUCUGACAGGGCGUAGUACACCAGCGUAAUGACAAGGGAAGGGGAAACCAGAACUUCUUCCCACAAUACGUUUGCUUUCUAAAGCAGAAUUAACAUGUAGACCACUAGAGUAUAAAAGAGAGAGUUAACGUGUUAUAGAACACUGACUAUAUAGGCACCUUCUACCCUGAAACUAACAAUUGUUGUACCACUUACCUUCAUUACGACUUCUCCAUCAUUAAUACUUCUGAGUCUCACGACCUGUAAGUAACGUAAACCCGGGGGGACACCUUCUAGAUAAACUAAAGAGAUACCUUAUGUUGUAACAAUACUUGACCCGCCAAUGGUUAAAUUGUACAGUUUGUCGAUACGUCUUCCUAUAAAUACGUACGGCGUCAAGGGUGUCGAUAACGGAUUUACAGUGGGUACCCCUUUAUAAAUACCCUAUGGCAACGUUCACAAGAAAUCCGAUAGUUCCUUUAGGCAUGUAGUUUCUACCGACGUUUCUAUAGCUACUCACACGUCCUAGUUGGAUGACGUUACCCUGUACAGUUUUAAAAUAACCUUCGAUGUUUACGUGCUCAACGGGAGUAUCUUUUCUCAAACUAGGUUAUUUUGCCGUCACACAAUGUAGUCGGUUCGUUGUGUCAGAAGAAAACCCAUUCAGCAUCCAUCACUAUAUAAGAAAACGUCAAUUUUAAUUAGUUUACGUCUGACUGAGUUUCUCGCUACUAAUUUACAUCCGUAGCGUUAACCUUGACCUACACCAGAACCGAGGUAUUAAUAACGUCGGACACAUCAAUCUAAGUGGUUGUUCACCUUCUUUCCGUAGGCCUUCUCUUAGGCUGCUCGUGUGAAGUUCUUUUUAGUUCCAGAAGAAAACCUCGUCGAAUAGAGUCUACUUUUGCGGUGUUUAUUUUGUUUCUAUAAGAGGAACCUCCUAGAUGUCUUCCGUUGGUUGUUGAAGCUAUGGUGAGCACAAGAACCAGCACCUCCUGUGCCAUGUCAAAUAUUUCCCUAAGAUAGACUGGUUGCCCACCACCGAUAAUUUUUUAGGUUUUAACACCUCGUUUGACUCUAUCUGGUCAAAUAGUUACUCCAACGAUAGAACAGAGUUUAGUAAGUAGCUUUACACCAUUUCGAGAAGCCAACAACGGAACUUAGACUCCACGGAAACGAACACAUGCUCAAGUAUAGAUUACCGUGUGACGUACUGGAUGAAGUGUAACUACAACCACAAUUUACGAACGACAGAACCCUACUAGCGUAAUCCUAACGUCAUCUUCGCCGACCGCGUGAACGAAUAGACGUGAGCCGACGACGUUAUGGUUAAAAGGUAUCUCUGCACUUUAGAAGAUUAUAAGAUAACCUGUCGUCGAAACGGUGUUUCCAAAGACUUAAACCACGAAGUUCCAGAGAAAGUGAGCUACUCUGUGUACACCACUGAUAACAGGUUCCUUGGAAACCAAUGGAUCUAGGUCUCAUAAUGGUAUGACCCGUCAACUGCCUUUUCUCACUACACAUAUUAAAACCUCAUUAUGAACACCUUGAAAACUGUUCUUUUUUCGGUUAAAAAUAGUUACUAUAUCCACGUUUUGUCUUGAACCGGGUAAUAAAGCACCUUCCUAACGUUCUCCCUCGAUAGUACCUUAAUUACCUAGGAGUCCAAUAGUUUCUCCGUUCGGGUCUUCUACAACUACUAUAAACGAGUGAAUGUCUUCGUACGAACUCCGAGUUUCCUUCUCUGUCCGGAUGAUACUUUCUUCAUCUGUACUCCAACGUUAAGGACUCUUGAUUUUCCGUUUCUUUUACGUUAUAAGAAGGUCUCCAGUCGAUGAGAUGACGUGUCUACGACGGGUCAACGAUAUCAGAUCUUGUUCUUGUGAGUAGGAGAGAGUGUAACGGUGCGAUUCAUAUAUGUUCGUUAUGGUGUUAACGAAGGAAGGUUCAUAAGUAGACUUAACGGUAGAUAAAAGAUAACUGGGCAUAACACAUUAAUACAAUGUAUCAAGUGAAAUAUGUUCUCAUACAGUACAUCAUAGCGAAGGUCAUAUAAACGUCUCAAAUAAACAUUCGGGUACAGUUAACACAUGUUGAAAUAAUGUUAAUCUCCUCACAAUGUUAAUGAACACCGUUUAUACCAACAUUCCUUAUUGAAUUCUAUGUAGUAACAUAAAUUCAACGCAACCACGUC
rnacentral:rRNA from 1 species